CACUGUGUCCAGUACUGUUCAAGCUGCUGAAGUGUUCGGAUCGACCGUAACACCUCCUACCGGGAUGAAGCCAGAAGAGAGGAUUCUGACCACCUUCUGGGUGCUGCUAUGACUUUUCUUCGAUACAUGGAACAACAAUACAUAAACAACUGAAGCGAUACCUACUUCGUUCAACACUUAAACUAACCACGUAAGGUAACAAGGCGAAUCCGAAAAGAAUAAAUCGAUAGACAUCAACCACGAUACACUAUAUGUAUACAGGAUGUUCAGAGAUUUACUACCCAGCGGUUUUCUCGUAAACGACUAGUACAAGAAAAAAAUGAGAGGAAAAAGUGAUAGUGUUUUUUAUAAUCAACAUAACGAAGUGUAUAAACUUUUCGUGUUUAUACUAUUUUUUGAGAAGUGAAGGUAACUUUCAGUUUUUUGAAUGGAAUAGUAUAUAUUUUUUUAUAUCAUAUGAAAGGGCGUAUCGAAACGAAUUCAACGAUGUAUUACAUCAUGACUUUGAGACCCAUUCAGAGUCUAAAACAAACGAAAUGUUUCAAAUAUUUCGUAUUACUGUACUUACCGUAAUUUUUCUACUGAUCUGUUUACAUUUCGUGUUUAAUGUGAUUUCCAUUAUCUAGAAAGCACUUUUGGUGGUUUUGUAAAAUGAUUAGGUCUGCGUUAGUGUUUACUUCUAUUACAAGGUGUGCAGAAAUAUUUGAGCAUUAUUUCACAGAUUGGUUACUGAUAUCUAGUGCGAUGUAUCGUUUUAAAGCAAAAGAUAACAGGCGCGUGUGCAUCAGUACCUCAAACAACAAUACCAGAAGCCACCAAAAGUGUAUUGUAUAGGGCACAAAAGUGUAUAUAAUAAGAACUUAUUAUUAUAUUUACACUUGUAUCUAUGCAUGUAUGUAAUUAAUAGUUGUACGUACUUUCAA